GUGGAGUAUGGAGCUGCUUCUCCUGCCCACUGAUUCCUCUGCAGCUGGACGCUGCCUCCUGGCACUGAUCAGCGUCCCCUUCUACGUGUGCUGGGCUCCCUGCAUAGCCACCAUCCUGUUUUCUGUACAAGGCUGGGAUCUGCUCAUGUGACAAGAGGGACACACACCCACGUUUGCAAAUGCUCUGGCGGAGGAUCAGCAUUUCCCAUGGCACCUACUGACAGACAGACACACGACCAGGGCACUUGACCAUCAUGGAAAAUGCUCUUACUGCUUAAAGAGGAAUCUGAGAAAAACUCCCUUUUACCAGAAUUUGGAGGUGGUGCAUUUUUCCAGGCCCUUCAAUGCAGUCCAGUGAUAUUGCCCCACCUGACUCCAUACUCAAUACCAGGCACGGGGUUGUGUCAGGGAGACAAG